rnacentral:rRNA from 1 species
ACCGCAACCCUUGUCUUCAGUUACCAGUAUUAAGUUAGGGACUCUGGAGAGACUGCCGGUGAUAAACCGGAGGAAGGUGGGGAUGACGUCAAAUCAUCAUGCCCCUUAUGGCCUGGGCUACACACGUACUACAAUGGCUGUUACAGCGUGGUGCAAUACUGUAAAGUAAAGCGAAUCACUGAAAGACAGUCUCAGUUCGGAUUGAGGUCUGCAACCCGACCUCAUGAAGUUGGAAUCGCUAGUAAUCGCGGAUCAGCAUGCCGCGGUGAAUACGUUCUCGGGCCUUGUACACACCGCCCGUCAUACCAUGAGAGCUGGCCAUACCCGAAGCCGGUGGCCUAACCGCAAGGAAGGAGCCGUCCAAGGCAGGGCUGGUGAUU